rnacentral:rRNA from 1 species
GGACCCGCACAAGUAGUGGAGCAUGUGGUUUAAUUCGAAGAUACGCGCAGAACCUUACCAACACUUGACAUGUUCGUCGCGACUUUAAGAGAUUAAAGUUUUCGGUUCGGCCGGACGAAACACAGGUGCUGCAUGGCUGUCGUCAGCUCGUGUCGUGAGAUGUUGGUUAAGUCCCGCAACGAUGCGCAACCCUCACUUUUAGUUGCCAUCAUUAAGUUGGCACUCUGAAAGAACUGCCAGUGAUAAGCUGAGGAAGUGGGGAUGACGUAAGUCCUCAUGGCCCUUACGUGUUGGGCUACACACGUGCUCAAUGUCGGUACAGAGAGCAGCCACUACGCGAGUAGGAGCGAA